rnacentral:lncRNA from 1 species
AUGCUGUCCGAGGGGUCGUCAGCCACCGUUGUGAUGCGUUGUCGGAACGCCGGCGGUUGGAACGUUGGCGUCGGCGCCGGGAUGACACGCAUCACCACCCUGUGGAUUAUCUGGGCCAGCUGGCUCUGCUUGACGGCCAACGGACAGAUGAAGAUACCGCCGGAAACGGUUCAGCAGUGGGCCGUCUCUUAUGGAAAACAAAUGAUUGGUCUUUCAACAAAAUACUCUGGUGCUCUGCUGCUCCAAAAGGUGACCCACAGAAACCUCCUCUGAUUUAGACAUGGGUGAACUGUGUGUGUGUGUGUGUGUGUGUGUGUGUGUGUGUGUGUGUGUGUGUGUGUGUGUGUGUGUCACGUUCUGACCUUUAUUUCCUUUGUUUUGUAUUUAUUUAGUAUGGUCAGGGCGUGAGUUGGGGUGGGCAGUCUAUGUUUGUUUUUCUAUGAUUUGGGGAUUUCUAUGUUUCGGCCUAGUAUGAUUCUCAAUCAGAGGCAGGUGUCAUUAGUUGUCUCUGAUUGAGAAUCAUACUUUGGUAGCCUGGGUUUCUCUGUUUGUGUGUGUGGAGGGGCUUCCCUACAGGGUGAGCUCAGCCCAAUCAAAGAGAGAAGGGCAGCAAGAUAACAAUUUGUAUGAUCACUGCUGUUUGUGGGUGUUGAAUUGAGACUGUGUUUGUGGAUGGAGACUGUGUUUGUUGAAUGGAGACUGUGGAUGUUGAAUGGAGACUGUGUUUGUUGAAUGAUGACUGUGGAUGUUGAAUGGAGACUGUAUUUGUGGAUGUUGAAUGGAGACUGUGUUUGUUGAAUGGAGACUGUGGAUGUUGAAUGGAGACUGUGUUUGUUGAAUGGAGACUGUGGAUGUUGAAUGGAGACUGUAUUUGUUGAAUGGAGACUGUGGAUGUUGAAUGGAGACUGUGUUUGUUGAAUGGAGACUGUGGAUGUUGAAUGGAGACUGUAUUUGUGGAUGUUGAAUGGAGACUGUGUUUGUUGAAUGGAGACUGUGGAUGUUGAAUGGAGACUGUGUUUGUUGAAUGGAGACUGUGGAUGUUGAAUGGAGACUGUAUUUGUGGAUGUUGAAUGGAGACUGUGUUUGUUGAAUGGAGACUGUGGAUGUUGAAUGGAGACUGUGUUUGUUGAAUGGAGACUGUGGAUGUUGAAUGGAGACUGUGUUUGUGGAUGUUGAAUUGAGACUGUGUUUGUGGAUGGAGACUGUGGAUGUUGAAUGGAGACUGUGUUUGUUGAAUGGAGACUGUGGAUGUUGAAUGGAGACUGUGGAUGUUGAAUGGAGACUGUGUUUGUUGAAUGGAGACUGUGUGUGGAUGUUGAAUGGAGACUGUGUGUGGAUGUUGAAUGGAGACUGUGUUUGUGGAUGUUGAAUGGAGACUGUGUUUGUGGAUGGAGACUGUAUUUGUGGAUGUUGAAUUGAGACUGUGUUUGUGGAUGGAGACUGUGUUUGUGGAUGUUGAAUGGAGACUGUGUUUGUUGAAUGGAGACUGUGUUUGUGGAUGUUGAAUGGAGACUGUGUUUGUUGAAUGGAGACUGUGGAUGUUGAAUGGAGACUGUGUUUGUGGAUGUUGAAUUGAGACUGUGUUUGUUGAAUGGAGACUGUGUUUGUGGAUGGAGACUGUGUUUGUUGAAUGGAGACUGUGUUUGUGGAUGUUGAAUGGAGACUGUUUGUGGAUGUUGAAUGGAGACUGUGUUUGUGGAUGGAGACUGUGUUUGUUGAAUGGAGACUGUGGAUGUUGAAUGGAGACUGUGUUUGUGGAUGGAGACUGUGUUUGUUGAAUGGAGACUGUGUUUGUGGAUGUUGAAUGGAGACUGUUUGUGGAUGUUGAAUGGAGACUGUGUUUGUGGAUGGAGGCUGUGUUUGUUGAAUGGAGACUGUGUUUGUGGAUAUUGAAUGGAGACUGUGUUUGUGGAUGGAGACUGUGUUUGUUGAAUGGAGACUGUGUUUGUUGAAUGGAGACUGUGGAUGUUGAAUGGAGACUGUGUUUGUUGAAUGAUGACUGUGGAUGUUGAAUGGAGACUGUAUUUGUGGAUGUUGAAUGGAGACUGUGUUUGUUGAAUGGAGACUGUGGAUGUUGAAUGGAGACUGUGUUUGUUGAAUGGAGACUGUGGAUGUUGAAUGGAGACUGUAUUUGUGGAUGUUGAAUGGAGACUGUGUUUGUUGAAUGGAGACUGUGGAUGUUGAAUGGAGACAGUGUUUGUUGAAUGGAGACUGUGGAUGUUGAAUGGAGACUGUGUUUGUGGAUGGAGACUGUGUUUGUUGAAUGGAGACUGUGUUUGUGGAUGUUGAAUGGAGACUGUUUGUGGAUGUUGAAUGGAGACUGUGUUUGUGGAUGGAGACUGUGUUUGUUGAAUGGAGACUGUGUUUGUGGAUGUUGAAUGGAGACUGUGUUUGUGGAUGGAGACUGUGUUUGUUGAAUGGAGACUGUGUUUGUGGAUGUUGAAUGGAGACUGUGUUUGUGGAUGGAGACUGUGUUUGUUGAAUGGAGACUGUGUUUGUGUUUGUUGAAUGGAGACUGUGUUUGUUGAAUGGAGACUGUGUUUGUGGAUGUUGAAUUGAGACUGUUUGUGGAUGGAGACUGUGUUUGUUGAAUGGAGACUGUGGAUGUUGAAUGGAGACUGUGUUUGUGGAUGUUGAAUUGAGACUGUGUUUGUGGAUGGAGACUGUGUUUGUUGAAUGGAGACUGUGGAUGUUGAAUGGAGACUGUGUUUGUUGAAUGGAGACUGUGUUUGUUGAAUGGAGACUGUGGAUGUUGAAUGGAGACUGUGUUUGUUGAAUGGAGACUGUGGAUGUUGAAUGGAGACUGUAUUUGUGGAUGUUGAAUGGAGACUGUGUUUGUUGAAUGGAGACUGUGGAUGUUGAAUGGAGACUGUGUUUGUUGAAUGGAGACUGUGGAUGUUGAAUGGAGACUGUAUUUGUGAAUGUUGAAUGGAGACUGUGUUUGUUGAAUGGAGACUGUGGAUGUUGAAUGGAGACUGUGUUUGUUGAAUGGAGACUGUGGAUGUUGAAUGGAGACUGUGUUUGUGGAUGUUGAAUUGAGACUGUGUUUGUGGAUGGAGACUGUGGAUGUUGAAUGGAGACUGUGUUUGUUGAAUGGAGACUGUGUUUGUUGAAUGGAGACUGUGGAUGUUGAAUGGAGACUGUGGAUGUUGAAUGGAGACUGUGUUUGUUGAAUGGAGACUGUGUGUGGAUGUUGAAUGGAGACUGUGUGUGGAUGUUGAAUGGAGACUGUGUUUGUGGAUGUUGAAUGGAGACUGUGUUUGUGGAUGGAGACUGUGUUUGUGGAUGUUGAAUGGAGACUGUGUUUGUUGAAUGGAGACUGUGUUUGUGGAUGUUGAAUUGAGACUGUGUUUGUGGAUGGAGACUGUGUUUGUUGAAUGGAGACUGUGUUUGUGGAUGUUGAAUGGAGACUGUUUGUGGAUGUUGAAUGGAGACUGUGUUUGUGGAUGGAGACUGUGUUUGUUGAAUGGAGACUGUGUUUGUGGAUGUUGAAUGGAGACUGUGUUUGUGGAUGGAGACUGUGUUUGUUGAAUGGAGACUGUGUUUGUGGAUGUUGAAUGGAGACUGUGUUUGUGGAUGUUGAAUGGAGACUGUGUUUGUGGAUGGAGACUGUGUUUGUUGAAUGGAGACUGUGUUUGUUGAAUGGAGACUGUGUUUGUGGGUGUUGAAUGGAGACUGUGUUUGUUGAAUGGAGACUGUGUUUGUGGGUGUUGAAUGGAGACUGUGUUUGUGGAUGUUGAAUGGAGACUGUGUUUGUGGAUGGAGACUGUGUUUGUUGAAUGGAGACUGUGUUUGUGGGUGUUGAAUGGAGACUGUGUUUGUGGAUGUUGAAUUGAGACUGUUUGUGGAUGUUGAAUGGAGACUGUGUUUGUUGAAUGGAGACUGUAUUUGUGUUUGUUGAAUGGAGACUGUGUUUGUGGAUGUUGAAUGGAGACUGUGUUUGUGGAUGUUGAAUGGAGACUGUGUUUGUGUUUGAGAAGUGUGUAAGAAGAAAGAGACUAGGAAAGAGAGGCAGAGGGAGGAGGAAGAGUGGAGGAAGGAGUGAAGAAGGAUAGAGAUCGAUGGAGAGAUGAUUCCAGAAUGUGGAUUUACAGGAUUAAUCUGGACUAUAUGACAUCACAAUGGUUUUAGGCUGUGAGGGGAGGGGUUAGGGAACCCUUCCUCCGUGUACCAAUCGGAAGCAGCCUUACUGUACAGUGAAGACUACAUAACUGAAAUGCCGGCCACUGGAACUACACACUACUGUAAAACGACCCUCUCACAUACCGUCGGCUAUUUAAUAGGAACCAGAAACAGAACAUGGAACCAUAGUACGGUGUACCUUUGAGGAAAUUCUCACCCUCAGAGGUGAGGCUGGAGCCUGAGGGUGUCCUAACAGGGCCACCGUACCACGACUGUCUAAUCAGUUGAUAAAACAUAUAGAUAGAUUGGAUUAGCCUCCUUCUCAUAUGAGUGUGUUUCUGUCUGUCUUUUUGUUUAUAUCUCUUAUUCAGGCGAUGUUGCCCCUUAGUGCUGUGAUAUAUGGGUUUAGAGUUGGUGCUUGUCUUUCCUAUGUCAGAUUUCCUUUACAUAAGUUCUGCUCUAUUUCCUGUUCACGGUGUGAGUCGUGAGGAGAGGACAGCCCUUGUAGGUGCUGAUGGUGUGUGUGUGUGUGUGUGUGUGUGUGUGUGUGUGUGUGUGUGUGUGUGUGUAAUUACCAUCCUAGGUGUGAGUCCCAGCACUUCUCAGUAAUAAGCACGUGCUCUCUGUUCCCAAGCGACCCUGAAGACUACCCAGCAGGACCUGCAACAUCUGUCUGGUCUAAUACAUGCAGACAUACACACGUGCAGUCCCCCUCCCUAGUCUCUGAGCUCAUGUUGAAGACAAUGAUCUGACUGGAUGGAAUAAAAUAACACGUGCUGAAGCUUUUCAGAUGUUACAUUACGCUGGGGAAUAUAAUGUGUCUUAUUAGCAUUAUGCUGGGGAAUAUAAUGUGUCUUAUUAGCAUUAUACUGGGGAAUAUAAUGUGUCUUAUUAGCAUUAUGCGGGGGAAUAUAAUGUGUC